GGGCCCGUAGUUCAGCGGCUAGAAUGCCUGGCUGGCAGUCAGGAGAUCACCGGUUCAAAUCCGGUCGGGUCCA
rnacentral:tRNA from 2 species